rnacentral:piRNA from 1 species
UGAGGUAAAGAACAUAGCUGCAUUUGUCUUU